GACGAACGCUGGCGGCGUGCCUAAUACAUGCAAGUUGAGCGCUGAAGGUUGGUACUUGUCCCAACUGGAUGAGCAGCGAACGGGCGAGUAACGCGUGGGGAAUCUGCCUUUGAGCGGGGGACAACAUUUGGAAACGAAUGCUAAUACCGCAUAAAAACUUUAAACACAAGUUUUAAGUUUGAAAGAUGCAAUUGCAUCACUCAAAGAUGAUCCCGCGUUGUAUUAGCUAGUUGGUGAGGUAAAGGCUCACCAAGGCGAUGAUACAUAGCCGACCUGAGAGGGGGAUCGGCCACAUUGGGACUGAGACACGGCCCAAACUCCUACGGGAGGCAGCAGUAGGGAAGCUUCGGCAAUGGACGAAAGUCUGACCGAGCAACGCCGCGUGAGUGAAGAAGGGUUUCGGAUCGUAAAACUCUGUUGGUAGAGAAGAACGUUGGUGAGAGUGGAAAGCUCAUCAAGUGACGGUAACUACCCAGAAAGGGACGGCUAACUACGUG
rnacentral:rRNA from 1 species